rnacentral:rRNA from 1 species
UACGGGGGGAGCAAGCGUUGUUCGGAUUUACUGGGCGUAAAGGGCGCGUAGGCGGUCGUGACAAGUCACUUGUGAAAUCUCCGGGCUUAACUCGGAAAGGUCAAGUGAUACUGUCGGACUAGAGUACAGAAGGGGCAACUGGAAUUCUCGGUGUAGCGGUGAAAUGCGUAGAUAUCGAGAGGAACACCUGCGGCGAAGGCGGGUUGCUGGGCUGAUACUGACGCUGAGGUGCGAAAGCGUGGGGAGCAAACAGG